rnacentral:rRNA from 1 species
GACGAACGCUGGCGGCGUGCUUAACACAUGCAAGUCGAACGGAAAGGCCUGCUUUCCCUUGUGGAUUGCGGGUACUCGAGUGGCGAACGGGUGAGUAACACGUGAGUGAUCUGCCCCCAACUUGGGUAUAAGCCUGGGAAACUGGGUCUAAUUCCCGAUAGGACUGCAGGGUGGUGCCUGUGGUGGAAAACGAUUUUCUAGUGGUUGGGGAUGAGCGGGCGGCCUAUCAGCUUGUUGGUGGGGGAAUGGCCUACCAAGGCUGCGACGGGUAGCCGGCCUGAGAGAGUGGACGGCCACAUUGGGACGGAGAUACGGCCCAGACGCCUACGGGAGGCAGCAGAGGGGAAGCUGGUACAAGGGGCGGAGGCCUGAUGCAGCGAGGCCGCGGGGGGGAUGACGGCCUUCGGGUUGUAAACUCCUUUCUGCCGCGAGGAAGCCACCGUGUUGGAAGGGUGGUGACGGUAGUGGGAGAAGAAGCACCGGCUAACUACGUG